rnacentral:lncRNA from 1 species
UAUAAUUUAAGACCUACUCCUAGAAUAUAAUUAUAUAAUUCCUUAAGUCAAACUCUUGGAGCCAGAUAUGUUCCAGAACUCAGACUUCAUGAGUUACUUGACACCCCCAGAGGUGACUGGAACAGCACUCUCAAAUCAAACACAUUAUUAUUUCUGCAGUAAAACAUAUGAAUAUUCAUUAUGAGUGGGAUAAAUAAAGUCUAUACAUAGGCUUAACUUCAAUUCAGGUCAAGUAUUGCAGCCAAAUGAAUUAUAAAAAAAAAUAUCGUUUUUCAGAUGUUUUUGCAUUUUGGAAUUGUAGAUAAGAAAUUUUUAACCUACAGUGAAACAGGACAAGGUGGAAAAGAAGUAAAUCGAAGAACCUUAUACCCUAACUAUACUUUGUAGUUUAUAAAACACUUACCCUUGGAGUUCUCGUCGUGGCGCAAUGGUUAAUGAAUCCGACUAGGAACCAUGAGGUUGCGGGUUCGAUCCUUGGCCUCACUCAGUGGGUUAAGGAUUCGGAGUUGCCGUGAGCUGUGGUGUUAGUCACAGACGCAGCUCGGAUCCCACAUUGCUCUGGCUCUGGCGUAGGCCAGCAGCAACAGCUCUGAUUAGACCCCUAGCCUGGGAACCUCCAUAUGCCUCAGGUGUGGCCCUAGAAAAGGCAAAACAAAACAAAACAAAAAAACAUACUUACUCGCUCAUUGUCUUAUUUGUGAGACACCUUCAUAUUAUAGGCGAGGAAUCUGAGGCCCAGAGAGGCUAAGUGACUUAGUUGUGGUUAUACAGCUCAGCUGGUAACCAGCCAGGUCAGGACUAGAACCCAAGUCCCCUGCCUCCAGGUUUUUAGAUCUUUCCAUACCAUAACCUACACAUCAGAAAAGUCUGAGGAGUCAGAGUUGCAGAGGCUAAAUUCUUGAACAGGUUCCCUGGAGCACAGAGAUGCUUCUCUCCAGGGAAGAGUGUUAUCAGACUGUAAUUCCCAUAGGGAGGCUUCCGGAGGGAAAGGAAGAGAGGGGAGGGCAAAACCUUGAGCUUUUAAUGUUGAACCACAGAUGUAUCCAGGGUGGUUGGUUCAGUCUCUUCAGGCAAUGCAUAAAACUCAGCCCAAAUUCUUGUUAUGAUCCAGUGGCGUUUCAGAGAAGCCACUGUUUGCUACUUCCAAAAAUUCUAAAAAUAGUAAAAAUAUGCCAAGCACUCCUCCCCAUAACAUUUUGAGGUGUUAUUACCAUUCCGCUCCUCCAGAUGAAGAAAUGGGGGUUCAGAGAUACGGUUCAAAGUCCUAUGGCUGGUAAGUGACAAGUCAGGGUUGGGCCAGGCCUGGGGGCCACACCCUUACCCAGUAUCCUGCGCCGAGCAAUGGCAGUGCUCUGGAUUUCCCAUCCACCCCUGCGAGGGAUGCCUUCUCCCCUGACCCCAGGCUGCUGAUGAGCAUACGGGCAGGAUGGGAUGGUCUGGGUUGUGGGGACCACAGGCACAUCUUCCGUGGUCAUCCUGAGGGGGGCUUCAGAUGCAGAGACCCUCAAAGACCCAGGGCACGAUUAUGGGUGUGCUCCAGCUGGGCCCUGUGUUUUGCACACCUCGUGUCUCAGAAGUCCAAGCGCAAAUUAAUUCAUCUUCCUGAUGUUGAUGAUACAGCCUCCAGCAGUAGGGAAGCUUGAGGGAGCUUGUUCUUGCUAUGCUCAGGAAACCACAGUAGAUGCACAUGGUCUGAAUGUGAAAGGAAGCUGGAGUUUGAGAAAGGAUUGGGAACAAAGGUUAAAUCAUGAAGGGCCUUGUUGUUUGUCACUAAAGAGACUAGGUCUUGUUCUCUGGGCAAAUGGACUGGUUUGGAGUAGAGAAACGACAUGGUCAUAUUUCCACAUGCGAUGGCUCCUUUGACUUGGAAAUCAGGGACUGCUUCCUGGAAGACGUAUCAGUUAGCCUAGGACUGACAGGAUGGAUAGGAUGUCAACCAGCAGAGGUGACCGUUCAUCCAGGACAGAAGCAGCUGUGACAGCCAGAUUUGUUCAGGGUUUGCCAUGAUACGAAUCAGAACAAACCACUUCCAGGUACUAAGCACCUACCAUGCGCACAGGCAUACAGGCCUGUAUUAUCUCUUGAAUCAUGGCAGAAGCCCUGCAAGGAAAGCCACAGCUCCUACACGCAGAGGUGGGAUUCAGAACCAUUUCUGUCCAAAGCCUAUUCUCUUCCCGUCCAACAGGCUGCCUCCCCUAUGGAGUUCAGUCUCAGCCAGGGCACAGAAGGAGGUGGAAGAAUAGAGGCUCAGGCGGAAAUGGAAGGUGAAAUCAUAUAUUUCAAAGAGCCUUAGAGCCUUGACAGCUUAGUGACUGUUCCAAACUUGGUCUCUCCGGAUGCCAUACUGCUUUUAAAUACACCUGUGCCCUAAUGGGGCUGUGUUCAUCAAAGUGAGAUUAUUGCUUGAGGACGAGGCGUGGUUCCAAGGAACCAGUUUUAAUACAGGAUUGAUUUCCCUGGCUUGGCUACUGUUCCUUUGUCUCUGUACUUUCCCCUCUUGAUUUUUCCGGGACUAUAGACUCUAGGUGAAAAGUCACGAGGAAGAAUUCCGGGAGCAGGUCAGAUUGCAGCUGGAACUGUUGACAAGGCAGUUUCGAGGAUCUGGAGAAAUUCUAGAGUCGACUAAGAUGUGGCGAAUGUGAGCCUGUAGGGGAUAUAAUCAUCCUUAAGGCCGCCUUCCUGCUCCCCUCUACCCAAUAUAGCAUGAGGAAUUUACCAUAGGAGGCAAGCAUGUAUCUUAGAAGCAGUCAGAAACAACUGCAUGCUUAUGGCUAAUGACAGAGAGAGAGUGAUGGCGUCAUCGCAGGUGGUGACAGGCAGGGAAGCUCCCAGAGCUCGCAGGAAAGGCCCUGUGUCUUGAAAGCUAUGCCUUCCUGGAGCCCAGAUGCUGGCUAUGCCUGACUGGGGGCCCACCUGGGGGGGCAGUGUGAAGAUGGGCUCUUCCCUGGUGUGAACACCUUCCUGUAAAGCUGACCCAUCGAGAGCAUCAGAUCCUGCACACACACCAGUAGUGCCAGAGAUGAACCUGGGGGAUGGGGUGGUUACUGCUAAUAUCCCAAGGGAUAGAUAAUUAGCGGCCAUACCUGCCUCCUGAAACCCUCUGAGGUCGUAUGAAUUAAAGCAAAACUGAGUGAGGAGAGAUGAGCUCCCAAGGGACCAGAGGUAACCUGAGCAUGGUUUCCCUUGGCUCAGCCUCAGACCAGGCAUUUCUAGAAUGAAAACAACUAGAGGGACUAUACAAAAAUGAUAUUGUUGACAUCCAAGGAAUACCAUUUUUUUCUGAAAAAGGACAGCGACUCUUUGCAUAUGUGUCAUGCUAAAGUCCAUGAAAUGGCCAAGGCCCUUGUUAUCAGUGUACCUUUGACUCUCUUUUCUUUACUUAAAGAUUUCUUUAUUUAUGUCUUUGGGAACAUGGUGUGAGCCAGCCUGAGUCUUUAUUACCCUUGAGCCCUGGGGGCACAGCUUCUCCUGGCCUGCACUCCCACCCCUGGCUGAGAAUCUCACCCCUUAGGUGUUACCUUUCUCCACGAUGGCCCCACUGAUCACCAGAGAGUUCUCUUCCUGUUGCCUUUAAGGACAAGCAGGUGGGCUCUUUUUUUUUUUUUCCUUUUUAUAUAGAGUUUCCCAGGCUAGGGGUCCAAUUGGAGCUACAGCUGCUGGUCUACACCACAGCCACAGCAACGCAGGAUCCGAGCUUUGCCGUGAGCUGUGGUAUAGGUUGCAGAUGCAGCUCAGAUCCCGUGUUGCUGUGGCUCUGGUGUAGGCCGGCAGCUAUAGCUCCGAUUAGACUCCUAAACUGGGAACCUCCGUAUGCUGCAGGAGCAGCCCAAGAAAUGGCAAAAAGACUCCCCUCCAAAAAAAAGACCCUCCUUCCAAGUACAGUCACAUUUUGAGGGUUCCGAGGCUUUCAACAUAGGAAUUUAGGGUGAGGGACACAGCUCAGCCCUGAAAUAAGCCCACCUUGAGCGGUAUGGGGAAAAGGAGACUGUUCUCUAAGGGAGGCAUGAACAAACUGCCCGAAGGUGGACUGCAACAUACCAGACAGAAGUCUAACCAGAGAUGCAUCGGAGGCCCACCAAGAAAGACAACACCCAGUCCUCCUGUCUGGGCCCUUGGAUCUAAGUAAAGUUAUCUGGAGGAAUGUGAUGGGACAGGAUUCUGAGGAAUUUGUAAAUAUCACAGCAAAGCAGAUUACCUCCACCUUGACACCAGCAAGCCAAGGCGAAUGGAUGGAAAAGGGAACAGGCUGUUUCCCUGAAUAUAGAAUUUGAAGGGUCUCUGGCCCCAGAGGGCUGCCCUUCUCAGACAGCACCAUCACAGAGGACACACACACGGCAAUGUCUGAACAUAAUACACACGAUCCCUGGCAGUGUAGAGAGUUAGGUCGGGGUGACCUAUGUUCAACCAGCGAUAUAUGUUUAAACUGAAUUUGUUGUGUUAAUCCUCCUUCUCUAUGGUCCUUCUCAUCUGUGUAAAAGCAAUGAUAAUGAUGAAGGAUUAUUAACACCAUUUAUUGAGUGGUGGGUGUAUGCUAAGGGGUAAUAUACCAUACAUUACUUCGAAUCUGUAAACCCUUUGAGAUGGGUUUUAAUUGAGAGCCAGGACCCAAAGUUAAACUGAAAGUAGAUGUCAGCUCUGGGACUUGGACGCUAGCUUAACCUGCUCCAGACCCCACACAUAGAACCCUGGGCGAUGAUGGUCUAUGCAGAUGGUUCUGGAAAGCAGGGCCCGGGGCUGGAACCUCAGCUUUGCCAGUAUCCAGGCAGGCCGUCAUUGUUUCUGCAUGUCCCCUUCCAUAUCAGAGAAGGAAUCCUGGUGGAGAUGGGGCCUAUGGAAGUUAGGAAGCUCCCCUAGGAUCUGUAAGCAAGGACUGCCAUGGAAACAUUUUGAGUGUAUCUCUGUCCGCAGAAAACAUCAUGGUGGCAGUAUUGGUGGGUGGGAGGAUUAAUUGGUACUUCUUCUCUGAUCCUACAUUCAAUUUCCUUGAUCAGGGAAAUUGGAUUACUCCAGAAUUUGAGGAAGGAACAUUGGUAAUAAAGUUCAAAGAGAUGAAUUACACUCAGAUAUUCAACCUUUUCAAUGCUAGGCAACUGAUUAAAUCCUGCCUGUUUGACAGUGAUGGAUGGCUGAGGAACUACAAAUUUCAUCCCCAUUUGCAAAAGAUGGCUUUUCUCCUGUCUAAACAAACUCAAGAAUGAUCACUGGAGUUGUGGCUCAAAGGAAACUAAUCCAACUAGUAUCCCUGAGGACGUGGGUUGGAUCCCCAGCCUUGCUCAGUGGGUUGGGGAUCUGGCAUUGCCUAGAGCUGUGGUGCAGGUCACAGAUGUGGCUCGGAUCCUGAGUUGCUGUGGCUGUGGUGUAGACUGACAGCUGUAGCUCCAAUUCAACCCCUAGCCUGGGAACUUCCAUAUGCCAUGGAUGCGGCCCUAAAAAG